UUUAUUUAACUGAUAUAGGUCGCAGACAUUAGAAAGUUGGGUUUUAAACAGUGUUCCAUGGAAGAUAUUGAACAUGUGGGAUAUGGAUGUAGAUGUAAGAAUAAUGAAGUGAGACUAGUAUAAGUGGUGAGGGACAUAGGACAGGAAGGAACAAAGAACUGAAAAAGCAAGAAUGAGGUUGAAUGUCAACAAGAAUAAAAUAAGACAACCUGUUACUUUUUAGGUUAGGUUAAAAUAAAUAUUAAAAUUUAAAACUAAUACCAUUAUGUUUAAUGCUAUAUACAUCAUGUUUGAGGAAAAAUGCCAGCAAGUGAUAUCGAAAUGGAAAUAAUAUAUUUAUCUUAUUUGAUCUUAGUCAAAUUAUCCAUAAUUAUUUGGUAAAAACAUCAUUUGUCUGCCAAAUUUAUUGUACAACUUAAAAAAUUGCCUGUGGUAUAAUCAAACUUUAUGAUAGUACACAAUUUUAUUAUUAGGUCAACUUUUAAAAUCUGUGAUUUGAUCUAUGUUUUAAGUUUCUUUUUACUUAAAUUUGUUCCUCCGGACAUUCACACAUAUUAAAUUAUCAUUUUCAAAGUUGAAUACUACUAUAAAAAUAUGAUCCAGCGGGGUUUUUGAAAUUGCUCAAUUAUAAGUAAUAUUAUCCGUAAACUACAGGACAUUCUCCACUAAGCUCAUAGAUACAAAGAAGAUACACAAGAAGAAUGCCCCCAAGUGCAUAUGAUUGAGUCUCAUGUAGAAUGGGCAUAAAAUUGUCUAGGAGGCCGAUUGAGGGAAGGAACUAGAUGGGAGAUGGAAGGAAGAGGAAAAUGGAUCCUGUGUGGGAAGGGAGAGGAGAUAUGACCCGAUAGUCAGGAGAAGGAAAGGAUAUCUUGAACUUUUAGAGAUGAGGAGGUAGGGGAAAUCUCCAGGAAGAGAAAGAGUCCAGGAUAAUGAAGGUACGCACGAAUCAAUGGGGUUUACCGAAGCUGUGACUUACAUUGGUGUUAUGGAACAUUAAGAGGCCAACUCCUGUAGCCCGGAAGGACACCAGUGGAGGGAUAAAGACACAAAUACAACUACAAAACUUUCUAGGCAAAAUUUUUCAAGCCUAAAAGAAAUUUAGAACCGUAUUCUAGGGUCUACGUUCUCCUUUGCUUUAUUGAUGGCUGGUAAUUUUUGUAUAAAAUAAGGAUUUGGGACAUUAUCAUUAGAAGUAGGUAUACAAUAUUUAUAUUGUUAUAUUCACGCUUUAGCUGGGCCCACUUUGUUGCCAAUAUCAUUACAAAAAUAUAAAAUUAUAAUUAAUAAUUUUUAUAAUUAUAAUUUUAUAAUUAUAAUUAUAAAAUUAGAAAACAGAAUUUUUGAGUACACAUUCAGGAAUAUAUAUAAAGUCCUCUUUCAAAGAAUGUACAAUAAGAAAAUGUAAUACAAUAUUCAUUCAAUUUAACGUCUGGAGGGAAAAUAUUGGACUUUAGGAAACAGAGAAAACCUAGGAACUUGAAUUGUAUGUCACAGGAAUGGACGUGGAAGUGAAAUUAUUAUCCAGAAUAUUCUCCUCCACACCAUGUUCCUAGAUCUUUUUUACCCAUGCCAAGCCCCUGACCAACAUUCUCUAUUCCGAACAUGUAAGUACUAAUGAAGCAAAGAGAAGUCUCUAGCUUUAAAGAUAUAUAAUAUGUAAAGGUUUCCAGUAUGUCACAGGAGACACUCUUGGAAAGGGCACCCUCAAAUCUGGUCCAUGGGAAAGUUCAGUGAGUCUUGGGUACGUAUUGAGUGGGAUUGCAGAAGUAGUAGCCUUUAUCUGAGCCUUCCACACAUGGGAAUCAGGUGCUGCGAUCUUCUUAGAAUCAUCUGGACUUCCCUGCUUGAUAUGGUUCCUGGAAGUCAGAGCGUUUAUGUAAUCAAUUUCUUCAAUACAAAAGCCAGUUGUUGGGAAGGGCACAUUUGUUCUUCUCAGAGCUCGUGGCUUUUACUCUUUUUGCUCUGAAGAAAAAGGUUCAAAGAAACAAAGGAAAGAAAAGUAUGGUCUCCUCAGCAGUGUAAACACCUCCAUGCUUUGGAUUCCUAUUGUGUAAUUUGUUUAUAACACUGAUAUCUGGAGGAGAAGAGCUUCUAGUUGAGACUUCAUCAUCUCAGUCUUUCCACUAGUAUUACUCUGAAUACCAUUCUCUGACAGUGACUCUUUAGAUUUCUGAGUCAAUAGGUUUGAUUAGCUGGCAGAUUUCUUUUCUUUCUUUCAUUGUUUUUAUUUUUUAUAAAAUUUUAUUGCUUUUUUAACUGGAUAUUUCUACAUUUGAAUUUCAAAUGUUAUUUCCUUUCCCUGUUUCUUUUCCAUAAUUAGCCUAUACAAUUCUGCUCCCCUUCUUCUAUAACCCACCUUACUGCCCCCUGACAUUGCCUUGAACUUGGAGUCAAACCCAAUGACUUCUCCUUCCAUUGGUGAACCCAAGGCCAUCCUUUGCAACAUAUGCAGUUGGAGCCAUAGUUCUUUCCAUGUCCAGUCUUUGAAUAUUGGUUUAUUACCAGAAAUCUCUGUUGCAUUUGCAUUGUUGUUCUUAUGGUGUUGAAAGCACCUUUAGCUCUUUUAAUCCUUUUUCAAACCCUACCAACAAGAUGUCAAUUUUCAGUUCACUGGCAGCAUAGACUCCUUAGCUUCAUCACUCUUAUCUACAUCUGGUUGCUGAAUGUGUGUGUGUGUGUGUGUGUGUGCGUGCGUGUGUGUGUGUGUGUGUGUGUUUCUGUGUCUGUAGAGCUAAACAAUGAAUUCUCAAAUGAGGAAUAUCAACAUCCUUUGCCAUCAGGUAAAUGGAAAUAAAGAAAAAAAAUCCUGAGUUUCCACAGCACACCAAUCAGAAUGACGAGGAUAUAUUUGGUCCCUUGUACAGCUAUGGUGUUUGGUGGAUUUUUAACAUGGAUUCUGCACUACUAGGUUAAGAUUUUAGAAUCCACAAAUGACAAAGCCAUAUAGACUCCUUCCUAUUCUUAUGAACCUACUGAAGUAGAAGAUUCACUGGACUUCAAGCCACUCCUCUCCCAGCCCAUGUCAUGAACUUUAUGUUUGGACUGAAUAAAGAAUCAUGGUAAAACAUCCAAAACCCUCAAAUCUGGCCAUGGAAACACUGGAAGGUAGAUAUUAGAGAACUGCUAUCUAAUGCCACUGCAGAACCACAUUAUAUAGUCUAUGUUGUCCUUUCCUUUACUAAUGUCAGGUAAUUUUUGGAUAAAAUAAGGAUUUAGGAGUUUAUCAUUUAAGUAGAUACAGAAUAUUUACACUAUUAUAUUCACUUUAGAACUGGGCCCCCUUUUUUCUAAAAUCAGAGCAAAAAAAUGGAAUAGGAUAAUAGAACAUUGGAGUACACAUUCAGCAAUAUAUAUAAAGUCCACUAUCAAGGAAUGUACAAUAAGAAAAUGUAAUAAAAUAUUCACUCAAUUAAAGGUCUGUAGGGAAAAUAUUGGCCUUUAGAAAAGAGAGAUAUCUGAGGAAAUUGAACUAUAGGCCAGAGGAAUGGAACUGGGAAUAAAAUUAUUAUCCAGUAGAAUCUCCUGCACUCCAUAUUCCUAGAUCUUAGAGACCCAAGCCAUGCCUCUGGCUAACUUUCCCCAUUCAGAGCAUGUGACCAUUAGUGGAGCAGAGAUAAGUCUCUACCUUAAGAGAGAUUGAGUACAUAAAGGUUUCCAGUGUGUCACAGGAGACAUACCUGGAAAGGACACCUUCGAAUCUGGUAAAUGUAAGGAAAGCUGUUUAGCAUGUAGGAGAUGGCCGUUCUCAGUGACAUCAUAAAUAGGACCUCCGUGACAAAUUUGUUGUAACUAGGAGAGCCCUAGCUUCUUCUGUGAUGUAACAAUUACUGUCCUGACAGGAACUGCCUCUCACAUAUUCCCUCAGUAACUCUCCGGUUUGCUAAUUGGCCACUAAUUCAGAGUAAACAGCCAUUUGGGAGUGAGAACAAAAAGGAUGAAGAGAUCAGAGAUGGGGAGAAAGAAGCUGACCUUCUGUCCUUGUAUGAAAAAAAAAGGAAAAAUAAGUGGUACUUUGAAAAGUUCAGGGAGCCCUUGGAAGGGUUGGAGUGGUAUCACUGAAGAGAUAGACUUGAUCUGAGACUUACACAUAUGGGAAUCAAGAGCUGGAAGCUUCACAGAAGCAUCUGGACUUCCCUGUUCUUAUGGUUCCUGGAUGUCAAAGAAGAAAAAGGUCCUAAGGAAGGAGGUAAAGACAAGUAUUGGGUCCUCAGGUCAGAGUAAACUCCUCCAAGCUUUGGAUACCUAUAGUGCAUUUUGUGUCUGACACGGAUAUCUCGGAGAAAGAAGUGCUUCUAGUUGAGACUUCAUCAUCUUUGUCUUACUACAAGUAUUACUCUGAAUACCAAUUUAGAUUUCUGAGUAAAUAACUGUGAUUAGUU